rnacentral:rRNA from 1 species
AUUGAACGCUGGCGGCAUGCUUUACACAUGCAAGUCGAGCGGUAACAGGCCUUCGGGUGCUGACGAGUGGCGAACGGGUGAGUAAUGCAUCGGAACGUACCCAGAGGUGGGGGAUAACGCAGCGAAAGCUGUGCUAAUACCGCAUGUGAUCUGAGGAUGAAAGCGGGGGACCGAGCAGCAAUGUUUGGCCUCGCGCCUUUGGAGCGGCCGAUGUCGGAUUAGCUAGUUGGUGGGGUAAAGGCCUACCAAGGCGACGAUCCGUAGCUGGUCUGAGAGGACGACCAGCCACACUGGGACUGAGACACGGCCCAGACUACUACGGGAGGCAGCAGUGGGGAAUGUUGGACAAUGGGCGCAAGCCUGAUCCAGCAAUGCCGCGUGCGGGAAGAAGGCCUUCGGGUUGUAAACCGCUUUUGGCAGGAACGAAACGGUGUCCGCUAAUACCGGGCGCUAAUGACGGUACCUGCAGAAUAAGCACCGGCUAACUACGUG